CGAUGCGCAAUCGGUGUACACGGUUUAUUCUGUGGAUUUUGUUACCCCUUCCUUGUUUUGGGAGUGUUUCUUAGGGUUUGACCUGUGGACAUCUUUGUUAACAGGUACGGGGUUGGACUGGCCUGGUUGCGUGGAAGAAGAGCAGACCGUCACCAGUAGCAGCAGUUCUGUGAUGCACUGCGGUCAAUCCCUGACGUGCAGAAGUGGAGAUGUAUGCUGACCCGGGAGGAUCCCAACAGCAGUCAAGCAGAGAAGAGGAGGAUGCGCAGCAAGCAGCAGAGCCCAGCCCAGCCCUUCGCAGCCCAGCCCCGGAUCCAGCGCAGCCCACACCAGCCAGCCCAUCCCACCCGGAGAUCCAGUGCCGCGACCAGGCAGCCUAACAGAGAAGCAUUUUGAAUUUAUUUCUUUCCUUCUGUCUCUUCUCUAUCUUCUUAGCACUUUCCUAAUCUAACACAACUAACCAUCCCCUACCCCUUAACAUUGAUUUUGUUGUAAUUUCCUUGAAUUUGUGUGCUUUGUUUCAUUGUUUUGAAUUUUUACUAAUCUCGUCUCAGUUGUAUAUUUUCAGGCACUCGGACGUGGUACAACGCGGGAGCACUCAGCCAGCCUCCAGCCAGCCAGCCACAGAUGAAGAGGAAGGAGCCCAUUGCCCAGCUUUGUCUAGCGGCUUACAUUUGCCAAGGCGGUGAGUAAAGGGCUGCUUUUGUAGCACAUCUGGAUCCCUGUUUUGCAUUAUAACUUGAUCAGAGCAGCUAUUGCUUUUCUUUUGACCUCCUGAUUUUUUGUGUUUUCAGGAGCGUCGAUCCCACCGAGAGGUUCAGCAGCAUUCUGGGGAACAAGGAUCGACUGCGACCGCACAUGGAAGAGAGGGUAAGAUUCGUGUCCACCCUGAAUUUAC